UACGAAGGGGGCUAGCGUUGUUCGGAAUUACUGGGCGUAAAGCGCACGUAGGCGGAUUGUUAAGUCAGGGGUGAAAUCCUGGAGCUCAACUCCAGAACUGCCUUUGAUACUGGCAAUCUUGAGUCCGGAAGAGGUGAGUGGAACUCCUAGUGUAGAGGUGGAAUUCGUAGAUAUUAGGAAGAACACCAGUGGCGAAGGCGGACUCACUGGUCCGGUACUGGACGCUGAGGUGCGAAAGCGUGGGGAGCAAACAGGGA
rnacentral:rRNA from 1 species